rnacentral:rRNA from 1 species
AUACGUAGGUGCCAAGCGUUAUCCGGAUUUACUGGGCGUAAAGGGCGUGUAGGCGGUCUUGCAAGUCAGAAGUGAAAUUCCUGAGCUCAACUCGGGCGCUGCUUCUGAAACUGCAGGACUUGAGUGCUGGAGGGGAUAGCGGAAUUCCUAGUGGAGCGGUAAAAUGCGCAGAUAUUAGGAAGAACGCCGGUGGCGAAGGCGGCUAUCUGGACAGUAACUGACGCUGAGGCGCGAAAGCGUGGGGAGCAAACAGGAUUAGAUACCCUGGUAGUCCACACUGUAAACGAUGAAUGCUAGGUGUAGGAGGUAUCGACCCCUUCUGUGCCGCAGUAAACACAGUAAGCAUUCCGCCUGGGGAGUACGGUAGCAAGAUUAAAACUCAAAGGAAUUGACGGGG